rnacentral:lncRNA from 1 species
CACAGAUCUGUCUGGCUCAAGUGUAGCAGUCGCAGUCUUUUACUAUGUUUGCCUACUUAGCACCACUGAGUGAUGCUUGUUAGGGGCUCCUCCUUUGGGCUGAGGCUGAGUGAGUCCAAUACUUCUUCCAGAGAGGAGAGAGAAGAUGUUUCGUCUCUCACUGAAAGCAGUGGGAAUCAGAGCAGCUCUCCUGAAGUCACCUUCCUGUCUGUUGCAAUGAUCAGCAGAAGAACAAGAGUGGAUUUCAAAAAGACUGCUGGCAUAUGGGCAACACAAAAGAAGCUGCACAUUCUGACACUCCUAAAGAAAGAGGCAAGAGGUUCAAUGGUUUCUUUAUAAAUCUCACAGCUGUAUCACUAAGGUAGGAAACAUAAGCAAGCUAUCAUGUCAUUCUUGCAGGAGCAGAGAAAAGAUGCUCCUCUCACUGCCUAGAGAAGCUGAGAUGCUGCAAUGCUUUUUCUAAUCAAUGCAGGUCAUAUACAGUAUUUCUGAGCUUCAGCUUUAUAA